AUAGAGACUCAGAGCUGCAUAUCAAUAAGCGGAGGAAAAGAAACUAACAAGGAUUCCCUUAGUAACGGCGAGUGAAGCGGGAAGAGCUCAAAUUUGAAAUCUUCAAGGGUUUACCUUUACGAAUUGUAGUUUAAAGAAGUGUUUUCUGUUGAGGUUUUGGUAAAAGUUCUUUGGAAUAGGACAUCAUAGAGGGUGAGAAUCCCGUAUUUGACCAUUACUUUCCACUUUGUGAUACACUUUCAAAGAGUCGGAUUGUUUGGGAAUGCAGUCCAAAAUGGGUGGUAAAUUUCAUCUAAAGCUAAAUAUUGGCGAGAGACCGAUAGCGAACAAGUACCGUGAGGGAAAGAUGAAAGGAACUUUGAAAAGAGAGUUAAACAGUACGUGAAAUUGUCAAAAGGGAAGCGUUUGACACCAGUGUUGUUUUCUCGAAAAUCAAUUAAAAAUGGUGGAUGUAUUGUUGUAUUGACUCUAAUCAGCUUCACUGCUACAUUUUUUCGUAGUCUUUUUUAAUGCACUUUUCGUUUAACAAGUCAACAUCAGUUUCUUUUGUUGUAAAAGAGUCAUUGGAAGGUGGCUUUCUUUUCGGAGAAAGUGUUUAUAGCCUUUAGACUCCUGCAAUCGGAGAGACUGAGGUCUGCAGCGUAGAUCCUUCGGGAUUAGAUUCAGUUUGUGCUAAGUUAUAGCUUUUCAUAGACAACUUGUUGACUAUGUUUAGUCAUGUAGCUUACUCGCUGAUGUAUUUUACCUACGCUUAGGAUGUUGAACGCGCACAGAGUCUC
rnacentral:rRNA from 1 species